CGGAUUGUAGGCUGCAACUCGCCUACAUGAAGUCGGAAUUGCUAGUAAUCGCGGAUCAGCAUGCCGCGGUGAAUACGUUCCCGGGCCUUGUACACACCGCCCGUCACACCAUGGGAGUCGGUAACACCCGAAGCCUGUAGUCUAACCGCAAGGGGGACGCAGUCGAAGGUGGGAUUGAUGACUGGGGUGAAGUCGUAACAAGGUACC
rnacentral:rRNA from 1 species